UACGAAGGGGGCUAGCGUUGUUCGGAUUUACUGGGCGUAAAGCGCACGUAGGCGGGUUGUUAAGUCAGGGGUGAAAUCCUGGAGCUCAACUCCAGAACUGCCUUUGAUACUGGCAACCUAGAGGCUGGAAGAGGUUAGUGGAAUUCACAGUGUAGAGGUGAAAUUCGUAGAUAUUGGGAGGAACACCAGUGGCGAAGGCGGCGAUCUGGGAAGAUACUGACGCUGAGGUGCGAAAGCGUGGGGAGCAAACAGG
rnacentral:rRNA from 1 species